rnacentral:sRNA from 1 species
UAACCAUCAUAAGGUGUUCGGAGGAUAUGUUAUCACAGUGGGAUAUAAUGUUUUAUUUUGGACUGCAUUUUUACCUAAGGUAGACAUUUUAUAGUGUUUGAUAGGUUCUGUUUCUGUGAUACAAUGAUGUUGGCCUUUUGUCAACUAUAAUUAUAAGUUAUUACAUUUUGAAACUUUAAUACUGCCUUUUAUAAGCAUUAGGUUGAAAUUUUCCAGUUGGUGAGUGAAAAACACUGCAUAUUGCUUCAAGAAUUUAGCUAAGAACUAAAGAUUAAUUGAACAAAUUACAGUGUCCGAAGUUCGCUUGAAUUUAGACAAGAUGAUGGAGCAGAAGAGUACUGCAGUAAAAGCUUUAACAGGUGGAAUUGCCCACUUAUUCAAACAGAAUAAGGUUGUUCAUGUCAAUGGAUAUGGAAAGAUAACUGGCAAAAAUCAAGUCACUGCUACGAAAGCUGAUGGCGGCACUCAGGUUAUUGAUACAAAGAACAUUCUUAUAGCCACGGGUUCAGAAGUUACUCCUUUUCCUGGAAUCAUGAUUGAUGAAGAUACAAUAGUGUCAUCUACAGGUGCUUUAUCUUUAAAAAAAGUCCCAGAAAAGAUGGUUGUUAUUGGUGCAGGAGUAAUAGGUGUAGAAUUGG